rnacentral:rRNA from 1 species
CGGGUGAGUAACGCGUAGGAAUCUAUCCUUUAGCGGGGGACAACUCGAGGAAACUCGAGCUAAUACCGCAUAAUCUUGAAAAAGCAAAGCUUGGGAUCUUCGGACCAAGCACUAAAGGGUGAGCCUGCGUCGGAUUAGCUUGUUGGUGGGGUAAUGGCCUACCAAGGCAAUGAUCUGUAGCUGGUCUGAGAGGAUGACCAGCCACACUGGGACUGAGACACGGCCCAGACUCC